AAAGUCGUAACAAGGUCAUCGUAGGUGAACCUGCGGUGGGAUCAUUAAAUAAUCUCAACCUUAAGGGGUUUGGUUAUGAGUGUGUAGUUGUUUCUUUAUUCUUUGGGAAUGUGUGCUUUUCAUUUUUGGAUUGCAUGCUUCUUGGAGGUGGAGGAAUGGCUAUUGCUUGCAACUGAGCUCUGCUUGUGUGAAUCUUGUAAGUUGCAUGGAGAGGAUAUUCUAUAUCUAAUCCGGCAAUGUGAGAAUAGUUUUGGUGGGUGUAUUGUGAGAGUGCAUAUUCUGUGCUAUUACAAGCCCCACCAGCUGUUCUCUCCAACUUAAAACACUAUCAAACAAUCAACAACAAAUAACACGAGGACUAAACACCCUCAUCAAUCCAAUUACAACUAUCCGUGGUGGAUCACUUGGCUCUU
rnacentral:misc_RNA from 1 species